GGACUGCUGAGGAGUCUCAUACUAUGACGAAACGGCCGUCUAGUGC
rfam:Schistosoma mattheei strain Denwood, Zambia genome assembly, scaffold: SMTD_scaffold0000392